UAUGACCGCUGGCGGCAGGCCUAACACAUGCAAGUCGAGCGGAUGAAGGGAGCUUGCUCCUGGAUUCAGCGGCGGACGGGUGAGUAAUNGCCUAGGAAUCUGCCUGGUNAGUGGGGGAUAACGUUCCGAAAGGAACGCUAAUACCGCAUACGUCCUACGGGAGAAAGCAGGGGACCUUCNGGGCCUUGCGCUAUCAGAUGAGCCUAGGUCGGAUNNUAGCUAGUUGNGUGAGGUAAUGGCUCACCAAGGCGACGAUCCGUAACUGGUCUGAGAGGAUGAUCAGUCACACUGGAACUGAGACACNGGUCCAGACUCCUACGGGAGGCAGCAGUGGGGAAUAUUGGACAAUGGGCGAAA
rnacentral:rRNA from 1 species